GCGGCCCCAAGUCAGGCGAGGCCCACCCGCCGA
rnacentral:rRNA from 1 species